UUCUCUCUCUCAGGUAUCCCCUACCCCAUCGUAGAUCUGGAGCAUCGCGGGUCGGAUCUCAUGUGACAGAGGUGGCAAAGGCAGCUAGCAGGGGUGUCGCGGCGGCGUGUGGCUGCAAGAGCCGGGGGAGACGGGGGUGUAGCGUGCAGGCAUGUGGCUGUAGCGCGAGGGGAGCGGCGACCGGAGUUGCCAGGCGAUGCAGAGAUUCAAUCGUGAUGUGAUGUGUUUCAGCCAUGUUGUAUGCGUGUGUGUUUCACGCGUCCGUGAGAAAUUUUGGUAUGGGCUUUUGAAAUCUGUAUAUUGUUCGAAUGACAUACAUUAUAUAGUGGGUAAUCUCACCAUUUCUGCCAAAGAGAGUCAUCUCAACAACCUAUCCAUCUAUCGUCCUUCCAACCAAACAUAGAAUUGGCUAUCCCUAGCUACUUAUCAUCCUCUCAACCAAACACAAAAAUUGGCUAUCCCUAGCCAGUUAGUUGGGGAUACCCAUAACCACCUAAAUCUAUCCGGUAAACUAAACACAUCCGUAGAGCCCAUGGAUAUGGAGGUGAGGGAAUUAGCAACACUGGAACGACUAGUAUAGAAUCUGGACAUCUGGUGCAAAAAUAGAAAAAGGAUUCUGGACCAUUGGAUUUGAGAUGAAUGGUAAGGAUCUAGGUGGAGGAAUCUGUACUCACGGUUACAUAAUUCUGUGCAAAAAUAUCCCUCUGGUCCUCAUGUUUUCUCUUCGGAUCCUUCUCAGAUCCCCAAUCCUCCAUCGGCCCUCUCGACCUCUCCUGCCGGCGAGCGACGCUGUCGGCGGUCCAGGCCAGAUCCGGUGUUGGCUCCCCUCCACAGCUUCUUCUCCUUGCCUCCUGUCUUCCACUCCGGCUUCAAGGUCGCGUGGAUCUGCCUCCCGGCCAGGCCCAACGUCGCGCGGCGCAUCAUCGCAGGGAUUCGUCGCCGUCGCUAGUCGUCCUCGCCGAUGGCCGCGGGCGCCUCGGGCACAGCUGCCUAGGUCACCAUCUAGCCUCCACCAUGCCGGACUCCGACGGGUUUGCGGCAGAUCCGAAGACCCGCGGCUCAGAGUUGUUAGAGAAUACGCAGCCCCGACGGCUACACGCGCCAGCUCUUCUUCCUGACUCCAUCCCCUCACUGGCUCAGUAUCAAGGAGAUUGAGAAGUCAGACAUCUGGAUUUUGGUGUAGAACACUUGUUAUGCUCUGGGUAUGAUGAGUAGUUUAGAGCUCAUUGACUAGUAUUAAGCUCUGCCCCUGCCGUUGCUCUUGGGUCAUUUUGAAGAAUUAUUUACAGCUUCUAGAGAAUCUUAGUUGUUGCUGUCUCACCUGGUUGUAAGCAAAUAAAAACAGUAUUUGUUUUGUGUAAUCUUUCCCAGGCAUAUGAAGUUCCAAGAGCAAGAAACAGUAUAACUGGAGGCAAGAGAAGAACUUCCUGUCAUAUACCAUCAGGAUAGCAAAGCUGAUACAAUUUUUUAAAGCAAUGUUUGUUCAGUUGUGAUCCUUAAGUCCUUCACACUCAUUCUUACUGGUCACGCACUAGAAAUGAUCAUGUCAUCUUAUGUGUCACUUCAUAUGUAUGUACUCCUAUGUCUCUCGUGGAUGCGCCAGAUUGACAAAUAUGUGUGCCCGGGAAGGGUCUAGUUUGACGUGUACUUGAAUAUUUGUGCAACUGAUGGUCUAGCUUGACAUGUACUCAAAUAAUUCCAAUAUUUGUGAUUGGAAUUGUCCAGUCUAA